UUUCGCAAUGCCCGAAAGGGUGACGAAGCGACGCCGCGUGUGGGAAGAAGGCCUUCGGGUUGUAAACCGCUGUUGGGAGUUAGGAAAUGUGGGAGUGUUAAUAGCGCUUCCGCUUGACUAAAGCUCCAGAGGAAGCCACGGCUAACUCUGUGCCAGCAGCCGCGGUAAUACAGAGGCGGCAAGCGUUGUUCGGAAUUAUUGGGCGUAAAGAGCACGUAGGCGGCUCUGUAAGUCAGCUGUGAAAGCCUUCUGCUUAACGGAAGAACAGCAGUUGAAACUACAGGGCUUGAGUGCGGGAGGGGAGAGUGGAACUUCUGGUGGAGCGGUGAAAUGCGUAGAUAUCAGAAGGAACGCCGGCGGCGAAAGCGGCUCUCUGGUCCGCAACUGACGCUGAGUGUGCGAAAGCUAGGGGAGCAAACGGGAUUAGAUACCCCGGUAGUCCUAGCCGUAAACGAUGGGCACUAAGUAGAGGGGUUUU
rnacentral:rRNA from 1 species